GAUAAAAUGGCUGAGAAUAGGCGAUAAAUUGUAAAUUUAUUCACGAAAUUACUUUCUUUUAUCA
rnacentral:tRNA from 1 species